GGAUCUGUGGAGUAAUGGUAGCGUGUCUGACUCCAGAUCAGAAGGUUGCGUGUUCGAUUCACGUCGGGUUCA
rnacentral:tRNA from 1 species